UGUAAAUAAAACCUAACAACACAAACAAUUGUUUUACGUUCGUAAAAGACACAACGUGUAUGGUAGUUCUCAUCAAAUCGAAACAUUAUAGAAAAAGAUCUAUAUCAAAUGAAAUUCUAAGUCGUUUUACCAUUUCAUGGAUCUCAUGUUCGAUUCAAGUAUGUUAAUUAAUAAUUCCUUCUUGUCAGAUUCGAAGAGGAAACAAGAAAAGCUGUCGUUUCGUUACAUGACUAUUACGCGAAGAUUCAUUCCACACUUAAUCUGAUAAAUUGAUGGUACCUUGGUACGUGUCGGUACUGCACCCAGGUUCAUUUUUAAUUCUUCUUGUGCACUAGGCGAAGAAUUCGUAACAUUCGAAGAUUCGGCUGAAGUUCUACGAGAUUGAGGAUAAAAUAUGCAUUUUUGCCGCGUGGGUGAGGAAUGGUGAUGAAAUUAAAGUAAAUGUCAAACAUAAAA
rnacentral:lncRNA from 1 species